UACGUAGGGGGCGAGCGUUGUCCGGAGUUACUGGGCGUAAAGGGCAUGCAGGCGGUCGGACGCGUUUUGUGUGACAGCGGGUGGCUUAACUACCCGAGGAUGCGAAAGACGGUUGGACUUGAGGACUCGAGAGGGACACGGAAUUCCGGGUGGAGUGGUGAAAUGCGUAGAGAUCCGGAGGAACACCGAAGGCGAAGGCAGUGUCCUGGCGAGUGACUGACGCUGAGGUGCGAAAGCCAGGGGAGCGAACGGG
rnacentral:rRNA from 1 species